rnacentral:miRNA from 1 species
AAAAUAUCGGUGUUGGGUAAA